UAUGGAGGAUGCGAGCGUUAUCCGGAUUUAUUGGGUUUAAAGGGUGCGUAGGCGGGCUUUUAAGUCAGCGGUAAAAAUUCGGGGCUCAACCCCGUCCGGCCGUUGAAACUGGGGGUCUUGAGUGGGCGAGAAGAAGGCGGAAUGCGUGGUGUAGCGGUGAAAUGCAUAGAUAUCACGCAGAACCCCGAUUGCGAAGGCAGCCUUCCGGCGCCCUACUGACGCUGAGGCACGAAAGUGCGGGGAUCGAACAGG
rnacentral:rRNA from 1 species